GGAGCGUUGGAUUGUUGGGCAAACAAAAGUUUGGGGGUCAGAGUCUCACUCUCGCUCUCGCUCCGGUCAUCUCCGCCGCGAGGUCGUUUCAAUCUGUGCUUUCCUUUCUCUUCUUCUAGACUCCAUCUCCACAGCUAUGUCUUUGGUGAUUAGGAAGCCCCCUCCUCUUCCUUGGUGGCAAUCACUCUGACACCAAUUCGGGCUUGAGCAUCUGUCCAUUGGUAUCUCGACUAGCACGCUGCGAAGAAGCAUUUUUAUAGAGGCGACACAAAAGCAACAAGAGCAUGGUGACUUGAUGGCGCGCCUGAAGACCAUUUUUAUCAAGUUGCGAUUCAAAUCGAGCUUGUCAUCAAUACUCUUCAGGCGCGCCAUCAAGUUGCCAUGCUCUUGUUGUUUGUUCGCAGAACUGAUGAUAUCAACGACGGAGUGCAGUGACAAGCUUGGCCUUAGUCUCAAGUUGGAUUCAUUUGUGGCUGGAGUUAUGAUAUCAACCACCGAUUUUGCGCAGCAUACUUUAGACCAGGUAA